CUUUGGAGUGAGAAUGGGUUGACAAACAGAAAAAUGUGGGUCCAGGAAUGGGUUAUGAGAUUCAAAGCUCAUUCACCAAGGAGGUGAACAAAAGUGAACAAAGAGGAGAAAUGAGAUAAAAAAAAGAAUGCGGUCCUUCACACAAGAGUGCAUCGUGAUUCGCCCGGCCCAACACACAUACACACACCCAUUCAACUCAAACAGUGCUAACACAGCAACAUAUUUAAUGUAGCUGACACUGAUAGGUCAUUUAUGGGUUGUGUAUGAGGUAUUUGUAAUAUCAGUGUUUUGCUCCUUUUUUGUAUUUUUAAGACUUUACAAUUUAAAUGUAAUAUUGUGCAUGUGUGUCAAUUGCAUGAAUUCUGAUGUGCUUAUUUUGUGGUACUGCUAAGUUUUAUUAAAUUGAAGGUCAUGUGACCUUCCUGAUUAGAUUUAACCUGGAAGUGCUGCAAAUUGAAUGAUGAGAUUUAAACUUAGAUACACCUGUUAGAGCUCUUCACCAUUCUACUGCUGGUAACCAGGCCAACACGGUAAAAGUGUUCAUUUAUGUAUAUUUCUUUAUUUGCAUUGAUGUCCUUCGAAUUGUUAUGUGUGUGUAAAACUAUAUUUUUGUGUUUCUGUUUGUAUGUAGUUUUCACGGUGUUCCAUAUCUAUAAAUAAAACAAAUGGACAUCAGUAUUUUGGAAACAUGGACUGUUUAAUGACCAGCGAGUAGUUACAGUGAAAACGUGGCCUAAUUCCAUUCCACCAAAGUUUACUUCGGCUUCAGCGUGCGGCUUCUCGCGUCUGGGUCUUUCGGAGUGGUUGGCUGCUUCCUGCGGUGAUAGAGGCGGCUGUCUUCGGCGCGCGAUUCUAGUGCAGUAUUCCUGGAUCCUUGAGUGUUGCAAACUGGGUUCAUCGUGCAGCUGGUGCCUCAUUUCGUAGGACUGAUUGUUGCAAGUUUCAGCGUGCAACUAUGCGUCUUCCCGCGGUGGUUUGUUGCGGGUUUUACGUACAGUUUUGAUACAUCCCGAUGGAGGACUUUCUCACGCAGCCUGAUUCAUCCGUGCAUCAGCAGGUCAGACUAUAAAAUAUUAAAUGUUAUCUUUGGUAAAUGGAUGGUUUUAAAAGUUAAAAUAAAAUUGUUACAAGACAAAGCUGCCUAUAAUUAGAGAACAAUGUAAGAAAGAAGUGUCCUAGUGACAAUUGGUUCUUAAUUUGCUUAAUUGAAAUAGUGCUUAAAGUAACAUUUAAGUGGCAUUACUCUAUUUAAGAGUUUCACUGUUAUUGACUGUUAUUUUAUUAUGUGUUGUAUUGUUGUUUAAAGUGUUACAUUUUUAAGAGCGAAAAUGUCAGUUCAGGGUGAUUUAGCAGAGCAAAAUGAAUCUCCAUUACAAGUUAAUGAGUGUGUUGUGAGAAAUCGACAUGAAUCAUGUACCACAUGUACUGAAAAAUCUGAGGCAAGACUUAAAGAGCUUAAUUCUACUUCAUUAAAGACCAAUGAAAUUAGGAAAUCUUCCCGUGAUAAACAUUUAACACCAAAGAUGCAGGAGUUAAAAGCACAAGAACUGGUCCAAAGGGAAAGCAAGUUCAUAUCUGCAUAUAAUAGUUGGAAGAUCCAUGUCAGAGAGGUUCGUUUAAAGUUAAAACAGGAGUGUUCUGAAAGUGAUUUGUGUGACAUGAUGGAUGGGGUUGAGAAGAAAGAAUCUGAAUUGAAAGGCCUAUAUGAUAGCAUGCGACUCCAAGCAGUACCAAGUCAAGAAAUUAGAAGAAAAAUAGAUGCAUGUUCAGCUGUGACUGCAGACUUGAUUAAAAUAAUGAAUGUACGUUUAGUGGAGGAUGGCAUGGAGUUCGAUGCUGAAGCUGAGAAGGCAAGAUUGCGUGUGUUGUUGGACUGUGAGUAUGCUAGGUCCAUAUACGGAUCCACAGUUUCUAGAGCCACAGUUUUUAGUAAUCACUCUAAACCCUCUUCAGAGUCUGCAAGCAUUUCCGCUAGAAGAGCAGAGACUGCCGCAUUGUUAGCUGCAAAGAAAGCAGAAAUGGAAAUGGAGGCUGACAUUGAUGCACAAAGGCAGCGAUUGAAGAAGCUUGAAAAUCGUAGAGACAUUGAGGUUAUGGAAGCAAGGCUUCGAGUGUAUACUGAGGAGGAGUUAAGAGUAAGAAGUCAGCAGUAUGGUUCAGCAUGUAGUGAUGUGAGCAACCCCAGUCCCCUGGUUCCUAAUACAUCAAGUUUGAGUCCGCAAGUCACAAAAGGUGAGGUAUCCGUAGUACAGACAUUGCAAGAGUCAAUGGCCCUAUCUCGACUUCCCGUUCCAGAACCUUUUGUAUUUUUUGGUGACCCACUUAAGUUUAUAGAGUGGAGCACAACCUUUAAGGCUCUUAUAGAGAGACGGUGUCUGAAUUCAGCAGACAGGCUGUUCUAUUUGCAAAAGUAUAUUGAUGGUGAAGCAAGAUCAGUUUUGAAAGGUAGUUUUUAUAGGAAAGAUGAACAAGCCUAUCAGCAAGCCUGGGAGAAGUUAAAUGCUAGAUAUGGUCACUCCUUUGUGGCGCAACGUGCCUUUAGAGAGAAACUAAAUAGGUGGCCUAAGAUUGGUGCAUCAGAGUACGUUAAGCUAAGAGAGUUCAGUGACUUCUUGCAAUCAUGUAGUGAUGCUAUGCCGCACAUCAAGGGUCUUCAGGUGUUGAAUGAUUGCGAAGAGAAUCAGAAGAUACUAGUCAAGCUUCCCAACUGGGUGACGAGUAGGUGGAACCGUUAUGUCACAAAACAGCUAGAUCAAGAUAAAGAUUAUCCAAGCUUUAGUGAGUUUGCUUCAUUUGUCUCAAAGGAAGCACGCAUAGCGUGCAAUCCUGUGUCAUCGUUGUAUGCAUUGAAGAUCUGUGAAGAAAAGCCCUUCAAGGAGAUCAAGCGUUUAAGAGUAAAUACGUUGGCAACUACGGUGAAUGAUUUAGAUGCAGCAUGUGCUAUGGGUAAUACCAGCAAUAUUAUUGACCGCAAGACUAAAGAGUCUAGUAAUUUGAAGAGCACACUGGUGCAUGGCACAACUUUAGUUAAAUGUUUGUUCUGUGGAGAGAGUCAUUCAGUUCAUGACUGUCAAAAAUUAAUGGAAGAGCCUGUGGAGGAAAGGAGACUGUUUGUUAGGGGGAAUAAGUUGUGCUUUGCAUGCUUAAGAAGGGGACAUGGCUCCAAAGAUUGUAGAAAUCGGUCCAUAUGUGCUGUAUGUAAGAAGCGCCACCCAACUCUUUUGCAUGAAGAUCGUCAGCCAGUAAAUGAGUUACGUUCACAGAUGGUUUUGCAGGCUGAAGAGAGUACAUCCUCUCUAUCAUGCUGUGUGAAUGGAGGAGAAGGUGGUACAACAUCAAUGAUUGUUCCAGUAUGGCUGUCUUCUGGCUCAGAGUCUGAAAUCCUUGUUUAUGCCUUAUUAGACACUCAAAGUAGUCACACAUUUAUUGAUCAGGAAGUGUGUGAAAGUUUGCGGGCAUCAAUGGAACCAGUAAAACUAAAGCUUUCCACGAUGAUGGGAAAAGACUCCAUUGUAGAAAGUCAGAGAGUCUGUGGACUUCGAGUGAGAGGGUUUUCUUUAGAUAGCUCUAUCUACCUGCCUCCCGUUUAUACAAGGGAUUUCAUUCCUUUUGAGCGCACCCAUAUUCCCACCUGUGAGACUGCUAAAAGGUGGAGACAUCUAGAAGUCAUUGCUGAGGAAAUGCCUGCACUAAUGGAUUGUGGAGUAGGUCUUUUGAUUGGCUAUGAUUGCUCCAGAGCAUUGGCACCUCGACAGGUCAUCAAUGGAGGUGAUGAAGAGCCUUAUGCCAUUAAGACCGACCUGGGCUGGAGCAUCAUAGGAGGUACUCCAAAUGGUGUGAACUCCAAGGAUGUGACUAGUAUAUGUCACCGCAUAUCAGUCAGGGAGCUUCCCCUUGUGACACCUGCUGCUGUUAGAGCCCUUGAGCUGGAUUUGGUAGAUAGUCGGUUAGGAGAAAAGAGCAUAUCUCAGGACGAUGUUCAGUUUCUGCAGGUUCUAAAGGAAGGCGUUUAUCAUAAUGAAUGUGGCCAUCUUGAGAUGCCCCUUCCCUUUAAAACUAGUCCCCAACUUCCAAAUAAUAAGAAGCUUGCAUUAGUACGACUGAAGCAUCUUAAAAGGAAAUUGGACAAGGAUCCUCAAUUCAAAUGUGAUUACAGGAUGUUUAUGGAAGGUGUCUUAAGAGAUGGGGUUGCAGAAAUAGCUGAUGAGAAACUAGAUAUGGGAAAUUUGUGUUAUAUUCCACACCAAGGUGUUUAUCACCCAAAGAAGCCAAAUAAGAUCAAGGUAGUCUUCGAUUGUACGGACACGUUUAAAGGUACCGCUUUGAAUGACUAUCUAUUGACUGGGCCCGAUCUUACCAAUGGGUUGACUGGAGUGCUUUGUCGCUUCCGCAAACAUCAAAUUGCUGUCAUGUGUGACAUUGAGAAAAUGUUUAAUAGAUUUCAUGUCAUUAGGGAAGAUCAGGAUUACCUGCGUUUUCUGUGGUGGUUAAAUGGUGAUCUAAACACAGAGCCCAGAGAAUAUCGAAUGAAAGUACAUCUCUUUGGAGCAUCAUCCUCCCCAGGUUGCGCCAAUUAUGGCCUGAAGUAUCUCGCCAGCAUUGAGAGGAAGUAUCCUUUAGCUGCUAGUUUCAUCAUAAAUAAUUUCUAUAUAGAUGAUAGUCUCAUAAGUCUGGAAUCCGUUGAGCUGGCAAUUAGGCUGGUAGAAGAAGCUCAGGCUCGGUGUGUUAAAGGAAAACUACACCUUCACAAAUUUGUUUCCAACAAUAGAAAAGUGCUUGCGUCCAUCAGUGAGAGUGACCGUGCUGUUGAGGUGGAAAAUGUGGAUUUCCAUAAUGAUUAUCUUCCAGUUAAGAAUGUUCUGGGAGUAAGGUGGGAUGUGGAGAAUGACGCCUUUACCUUUAAUUCUGUGCUUGAUGAGAAACCUGCCACACAACGUGGUAUUCUUUCCAUUGUGGCUUCCAUUUAUGAUACAUUGGGGUUCUUGGCUCCAUUCAUCAUAUCCGGUAAGAAGGUGCUGCAAGAGAUGUGUCAUAAGGGCAUAAGUUGGGAUGAACCACUACACAUUGAAUUGAGAUCAAGGUGGGAGAGCUGGUUGAAGGAUUUGUCUAAUCUAGAAAAGGUACAGAUACCAAUAGGUUUAACAUCUUCAAACUUCAGGAAGAUCUUGAGAACUGAGUUGCAACACCUUUUUGACGCAAGUAGUAAAGGUUAUGGUCAGUGCUCCUAUUUUAGGCUGGUGAGUGUACCAAGGUACAUUGUGCCUUAGUCACGGGGAAAGCGAGAGUUGUCCCCACAUAAGUUGUCUCCAUGCCAAGAUUAGAGUUAACAGCAGCAGUGAUUUAACAAAGUUAAAUUGCAUUAUCACUUUAUUCAAAUUCAGGUGUAUUGAUAUCAUGUAGGUCUUGGCAUUUUGGUCACAUGUUGAUGUGUACUGCAUUUAAUAUUAAAACAAUGUGAUAUGGUGAACAAUUUGUUCAUUUUAACUGAAGAAUGUGUAAUAAUGAAUUGUGGGGAUAGAAUCAUGUUAGUUGUUUUCAUGUAUUGUGUUGAUGCCUGGAAAUUUCCACUGAUUAUUCAAAUUGUUGCAUUCUAUGUUUAUUGAAUAGAUCAAAGGUAAUUUGGUGGGAGUGUAGCUGACACUGAUAGGUCAUUUAUGGGUUGUGUAUGAGGUAUUUGUAAUAUCAGUGUUUUGCUCCUUUUUUGUAUUUUUAAGACUUUACAAUUUAAAUGUAAUAUUGUGCAUGUGUGUCAAUUGCAUGAAUUCUGAUGUGCUUAUUUUGUGGUACUGCUAAGUUUUAUUAAAUUGAAGGUCAUGUGACCUUCCUGAUUAGAUUUAACCUGGAAGUGCUGCAAAUUGAAUGAUGAGAUUUAAACUUAGAUACACCUGUUAGAGCUCUUCACCAUUCUACUGCUGGUAACCAGGCCAACACGUUUUCACGGUGUUCCAUAUCUAUAAAUAAAACAAAUGGACAUCAGUAUUUUGGAAACAUGGACUGUUUAAUGACCAGCGAGUAGUUACAUUUAAAUAACAACACUUCAUUCACUUAUUCAUGCACAAACUAACACAUACACUCUUUUUUCUGUUUAAACACACACUUGUUGUCACACUUCAGUGCUUUUUCCCAGUGUGCUGUGAGGUGAGUCAUCCGCUUUAAUCUUCUUCACUCUCCUCCUCUUUUCUUUGCUAACUUGACAGACUAGGACUUCAGCUCAAGUUAUUUUUAACCAGUAAUGAAGUGAAUUC